rnacentral:piRNA from 1 species
UNUCACAGCCAGAAGGACUCUAUGAAAGAA